rnacentral:rRNA from 1 species
UAAAAGAUGGCUUCUCGCUAUCACUUCUGGAUGGACCUGCGGUGCAUUAGCUUGUUGGUGGGGUAACGGCCUACCAAGGCGAUGAUGCAUAGCCGAGUUGAGAGACUGAUCGGCCACAAUGGGACUGAGACACGGCCCAUACUCCUACGGGAGGCAGCAGUAGGGAAUCUUCCACAAUGGGCGCAAGCCUGAUGGAGCAACACCGCGUGAGUGAAGAAGGGUUUCGGCUCGUAAAGCUCUGUUGUUAAAGAAGAACACGUAUGAGAGUAACUGUUCAUACGUUGACGGUAUUUAACCAGAAAGUCACGGCUAACUACGUGCCAGCAGCCGCGGUAAUACGUAGGUGGCAAGCGUUAUCCGGAUUUAUUGGGCGUAAAGAGAGUGCAGGCGGUUUUCUAAGUCUGAUGUGAAAGCCUUCGGCUUAACCGGAGAAGUGCAUCGGAAACUGGAUAACUUGAGUGCAGAAGAGGGUAGUGGAACUCCAUGUGUAGCGGUGGAAUGCGUAGAUAUAUGGAAGAACACCAGUGGCGAAGGCGGCUACCUGGUCUGCAACUGACGCUGAGACUCGAAAGCAUGGGUAGCGAACAGGAUUAGAUACCCUGGUAGUCCAUGCCGUAAACGAUGAGUGCUAGGUGUUGGAGGGUUUCCGCCCUUCAGUGCCGGAGCUAACGCAUUAAGCACUCCGCCUGGGGAGUACGACCGCAAGGUUGAAACUCAAAGGAAUUGACGGGGGCCCGCACAAGCGGUGGAGCAUGUGGUUUAAUUCGAAGCUACGCGAA